rnacentral:tRNA from 1 species
GCCCAAGUGGUGGAAUUGGUAGACACGCCAGCUUGAGGGGCUGGUGGGGGCAACCCCGUGUCGGUUCGAGUCCGGCCUUGGGCACCA